UGCUACUUUCCAGUGGCCAGGACUUCAGCUGAGGGAUCUAGAUGUUCUUAUAGCCUGUUUCCUAGGCACUGACAGGUAGUGGGUGCCCAAAAAGUGUUUGUUAGCUGCAUGAAGGAAUGGACCCCAAUGGGCUUGAGGGAGAGUUUG